rnacentral:sRNA from 2 species
UAUUCAGUUUUAUAGGGUUCCGCAGUUUAAUGUUGUAAACUGGUCAGGUCCGAGAUAAAACGCACAGCUUGCUGUGUUCACGGAAGGACAAAAGCCUGGGAGAU